ACCUGGCUGGCUCAGUCAGUGGAGUAUGCAACUUUUGAUUUCAGGGUUGUGGGUUUGAGCCCCACAUUGGGUG
rnacentral:tRNA from 1 species